UGGGGAAUAUUGCACAAUGGGCGCAAGCCUGAUGCAGCGACGCCGCGUGAGGGAUGGAGGCCUUCGGGUUGUAAACCUCUUUUAUCGGGGAGCAAGCGUGAGUGAGUUUACCCGUUGAAUAAGCACCGGCUAACUACGUGCCAGCAGCCGCGGUAAUACGUAGGGUGCAAGCGUUAUCCGGAAUUAUUGGGCGUAAAGGGCUCGUAGGCGGUUCGUCGCGUCCGGUGUGAAAGUCCAUCGCUUAACGGUGGAUCCGCGCCGGGUACGGGCGGGCUUGAGUGCGGUAGGGGAGACUGGAAUUCCCGGUGUAACGGUGGAAUGUGUAGAUAUCGGGAAGAACACCAAUGGCGAAGGCAGGUCUCUGGGCCGUCACUGACGCUGAGGAGCGAAAGCGUGGGGAGCGAACAGGAUUAGAUACCCUGGUAGUCCACGCCGUAAACGGUGGAUGCUGGAUGUGGGGACCAUUCCACGGUCUCCGUGUCGGAGCCAACGCGUUAAGCAUCCCGCCUGGGGAGUACGGCCGCAAGGCUAAAACUCAAAGAAAUUGACGGGGGCCCGCACAAGCGGCGGAGCAUGCGGAUUAAUUCGAUGCAACGCGAAGAACCUUACCUGGGCUUGACAUGUUCCCGACAGCCGUAGAGAUACGGUCUCCCUUCGGGGCGGGUUCACAGGUGGUGCAUGGUCGUCGUCAGCUCGUGUCGUGAGAUGUUGGGUUAAGUCCCGCAACGAGCGCAACCCUCGCCCUGUGUUGCCAGCACGUCGUGGUGGGAACUCACGGGGGACCGCCGGGGUCAACUCGGAGGAAGGUGGGGAUGACGUCAGAUCAUCAUGCCCCUUACGUCCAGGGCUUCACGCAUGCUACAAUGGCCGGUACAACGGGAUGCGACACCGCGAGGUGGAGCGGAUCCCUUAAAACCGGUCUCAGUUCGGAUUGGAGUCUGCAACCCGACUCCAUGAAGGCGGAGUCGCUAGUAAUCGCGGAUCAGCAACGCCGCGGUGAAUGCGUUCCC
rnacentral:rRNA from 1 species